AGUGAAUGUAAACGUGUCUUUUUAUUUAUUGUCGUAAUAUCUUUCUUAUUUCUCACAGCGCCUGUGGUCGAUCUGCUUACGGCUGUGAAGGUCUUGUCUGGCUCUACAGUUGAGAUUGCAGCGGCUUCUGUUGGCGAGAAAAGUCUGGUGAAUGCUGUCCAACAAAUACAGGAAGACAGGGAAGCACUGAACUCCUCAGAGGAGGUGGUAAAACCAGAGAUCCUAGAAGCGCCCGCAGAGUCCUUCGCUGAGACAGCAGCGGCUGUGGACGAGGAGGAGGCAGAGUCUGCAGAGGCUGCUGCUGAUGAUGAACUCUCUGACGAUGAGGAAGUGGUCGCAGAGGAGGCCCCUGCUCCUGCUCCAGCAGAGGAGGCAUUCACAGCUUCCCCUCAGGCAGUAGAUGAGGUGGUGGAGGAGGCGGUUGAGGAUCCAGUUCUGAACCCCGACGCACCUCCUAAAGAAGCCUUUUUUGUUAUUGAGGCCUCGCCUGAAGACGCUUCACCAGCCGAGCAAGUCACCAUCGCAGCCGAAGCCCCUCCAGCGGAUGGCGCCUCGGGAGCCCAGUCGUCAGAGGAAGCUUUGGGAGAGGAGGCGCCUGAAGCUGCCUCCACACAGGCGCACGUGACUCAGCUGGCAGCAGCCUCCACCGCGUCAGAGCCGCACGUCCUUUCAGCUGCCGAGCCAGAGUCAGACGCUCCAGGCCACCGGGCCGAGCACUGCCACUCCUGCCACUCUGCUCCAUCAGCAGAGGAGGCAGCGCCACCUACUGAUGCAGGACAGGAGCCCAUCAGUGAGGGAGGUGUGGAUACGACACAUGAAGUCAAGGAGGUGGCGUCCCCGGUGACGAAAACUUCAGAGAAUAUGAUGGUGACAUCCGAGUCCUGACAUGACAGACAGUGUGCCUUCCACAACACUUGCUUCUCUGUCAAUAUAACCAGUGAAAACAUCAGCACAAGUCACAGGUCAAAUGAUGUAAUGUGGCUUUCUUGAAAUAGACAUUUGUAAACAUUCUCCUUGUGAAUCUGGUUUAGGUUUUGUAAACUAAAUCUCCUUUGUCCUGUAGGUGCAACAGUCGCAAAACCAGUUCAUGUUUAAAUGUACCGGUAGCCAAGUAAUAUCUGCAAAAUCUUAUUGUACACUUUCUCAAGCAUUGUACUCUAUUUACCUACAUACAUUAGCAUAUAUGACAUCAUAUAAAGGGAUAUUUUUGAUGUUUGUGCUACAGUAUAGUGUAUUAGCAGGCCUGACAUAAGGUGAUACUUAUUCAAAAGUCAUAUAAUGUAUUACUAGCACAAAAGAUAACAAACAGUAAAAAUAUUGCACACAUGUGUUUCUGUAGAUUGCACAAACUUUAAUUUUGCAUAAUACAUUUUCAGUUUUGAGUCUUAUUGCAUAUUAAUACAGAUAAUAAUGCUGAAUAGUAAUUACAAUGUGGAAAUGAUCACUAUAAUCAAUACACUGUAUCAAACAAUAGAUAUAUCAGCUUUUAUUUUGUUUAUUGUGAUGUGAAUGUGUCUUUGCUAUUAUGAUAAUGUGUUCAUGUAAACAAAUAAAGUGAUGUGUAAACAACA
rnacentral:lncRNA from 1 species